UGACUUGGGGCUGUGUGAGUCCUACUGACACCAAAUAAUUACAGCCCAGAUGGCUCAGUGGCAGAAACAUUAGCCUAGGGCACGCGGGGCAGGUUCAAUUCCCUGCUUUGGCACGUUCUUCCCGUGCAGCAUGUUUUAAGUCCUGCGGUGCUCUGUGUGUAAAAGGGGCCUCACCGCUCCAAAAGGCCUGCCCCCAGCGAUGGCUUCUGUCACAGCGCAUCUGGGAGAGAUGCUGCAGGAAUGGUGGUGGUGUGGCUCAGAAAUCUCCACUUAACACCAAGAAACAGAGACCUCCAGUUUUCCCAAAGCUCCUUAGGGAGAUUUAUGGUGAGCCACGCUCUCGAUGGCCUUGCUGACUGCUGUGCCUGAAGCCUUCCCCAUCCAAGGAGGAGCAGUGGUGAGGCAGAGGCUGAAAGCCAGCAGCAGGACCAGCAACAAAGGCAUCUGCUGGAGUAACUCAGGAACGUAAUGAAGCUUCAUUAACCCAGCCCUAAUGAGAGGGAUUGGUUCUGUAUGAUUAGCUUAAGUCUGCUCCGUACAGGCACCUUUGUGGUGGGCCAUUCCUGGCCUCCUCAGCCCAGAGCUUUGCUGCAGGCCUCAGGCUGUGCUGCUUGACUUUGCUGGGCCUGGGGGGGGGAAUGCUUAGAUCUUGCACCAUUUUGUUGUGUUUGUUUUCUUUAAGAAGCAAAGCAAAACCCAGCUUAAAGCAAAAGAGUUCUAAUUUUUCUAGGUUUAAUGUGUGCAUUUCUUGCAGUGGUCGGAUCCUGCACCCGUUCUCAGGAGGAUUUGAAGGGCCAGCUUUCUCACUCCCAUUUCCAUCGAAAUGGCAGAUGCGCAGCAGGCCAGCUUUAACUCCCAGCUCAUCAGUAGAAAACCUGGAUAUCCUGUUCCUGGAGCGUACAGAAAGUGUAGAUUUUAUUGCAACCUUUUGAAACUUCAUGGAGAGCAAGGUCUGUUCACAGUGACACAAGGCAAGAUGUUUCUAUUUUGAGCCAAGGCCCACCCUGUUGGGUCUUUUUUUUGAGAGAGAGAGAGAACAUUAUUGGAAUCCUGCAAGGUUUUAUUUCAUUUCCUCCACAGUCUUGAGAGGUGGUAAGUCCUGCAGCCUCCCUCGUGGUGGUGAGUGAUUCCUUGCAGCGGUUUCUGGCUUUCACCCCCAUCCUGAGCUCUUGGCUUUCCCUUGAACUCGCCUCAGCAGUGUCUGGUGAUCUAGCUGGCAUUUUCCAGGAGGCUGACCCAUCUCCUCUCCCCUCCAACCCGAAGGUGUUCAGGAGGAAGUCAUAAAGUUGAUAUUUUCAUUGUAGAGACACGGCCUAUCCAAGUUUUUUACAUGUUCUUUUCUCUCUUAAAACAUGUUCUCCCCUGAGACUUGGCUCGGGGCUAGAGAAGUGUAUUGCUUGUGAUCACAUCUUCGAGACACCUCAGUAUCUUAACAUCUUUCACAAGAAUGUGUUUCUGAAGAGCCAGUCGUGAGGUCUGGAGUUUAUCAGUCCACUUCUUACAUGGUAGAAAGAUAAAAUUAGUUCCAGAGAGAGAGAGAGAUGUUGGAAAUGACACAAAAUCCUCCUGGUAAAAAGAGAAGUAAUGGUUUGCAGCCAUCGGGUAUUUCAGAUCACACGAAGGGAUCAGUACUCCAGAUGGAAAUACUGACAUUCAUUGUUACAGUGUUUCUUUGAGAAAUUUCCUAGCAUGAAGCAUAAGGACCCUUGAGACUUAACAAGGGGAGAUGCUCCCAGAGGUACUGUCGCUCCAUCAGCCUGCGCUCACUGCUGCCAAAAGGCAGCUUUGCACAGACAAGAAGAAAUAAAACUCCAGGCUUGUCCA
rnacentral:lncRNA from 1 species